ACCUGGGACUCACCAAUAGAGAAAGGUUGCCUUUACCAGACAGCGGAAAAGGGAAGAAAGGUAAAAAAGUGAAGGAGGAUGACAGCGAUUACGAGUGCGAAACGUGCAGAGCGAAUUUAUUCGUUUCGCUGGUAAAUAAUUCACAAGGACGAUAGUGUUUAUUGUUUGCCGCACGCGUUGCAAUUACUCAACCAAAAGAAGCAGGUCUUAAAGCAUUGCACUCUGAUGUAUACGUACGACGAAGAUGAAUUGGACGAAUUGAUUCACAAACUGGAACACAGGAUCGAAACCAAAUCUAAAAAAAACUAAUCAAAUAAAGCAAACUAAGUAAGAAAAAUAAGUCUGUUAUUUUGUUUAUAAAGGAUAAAAAGUUAUCGUUAUAUAUUUAUUCAACGCUAGGAUAAUUGUAUUAGGAAUAUUGUAUUGUGUCUCGCUUGUUAUAUUGUAAUAGGAGGAUAUAUAAAAUCUCGAUUUUUAUCUAGAAAAUGCGCAGUAGAUCAAUAUAUAAAUGUGUGAUUUUAUAAAUAAUAUUAUUUCUAUGAAAUAAUUGAUGUCUAUUAUGAUUUUGGAUAUUUCAAUUCAAUAUUUCGGUGUUAUAGUGUAUAUUAUCGAGACGAAUUUUACAUACAUUUUUGCAGUUCAUUUUUAAAAAAUAUCACAAUACCGAAUAUAUAUAUAUUAUAAUAAAUUUCCAAAGAAUUAUGAUGUUUAUAUCCAUUAUCAUAAUUUAGUUUUUACAAUUUACGAUGAUAAAUUGUGAUCACAUCUAUCUGUCUUGUCUAUUGACUAGAUUAGAUAGUAGAAUAUUAGAACUGAGUAAUUGCUUCAGAGUGAAAUAAUAUAUAUAUAAAAUUCUUUUAUAAUUAUAUAUUAUUAUUUAUCGAAGACAUGUUAUAUGUUUAAAAUAAAGCUUGACAAUAGCAAAUUAAGGGAAUAAAAUAAAAAAUUAUUGAUUAACACA